AUUUGUAAAGGAUUCGAGACAAAACUUGCUGAACCAGCAGAUGAGAUUACAUUCGCUUUUCUGGCUGGACAUGCGGCGUCUGAACAUCCUCUUCAUAGUCAGUUCUAUCUCGGUGGAAGUGACAUGUUCGUUGAGGGCAUAUGGGAAUGGUCAUCAACGAAAACACAAGUAAACCCAAACCACUGGGAACCUGGAAACCCUAGUGACGAUAAUAACAACGGAGACUGUUUGACCCUCAAUGCUCCACUUAAGGAACUCAACGAUGUUCAGUGUACGGCUAUAUUUGCGUUCAUUUGCGAAGCAGAGUCAGGUGAACCGGAACAAGUUGUAAUUGGAUGAAGACGGACAUUAUUUAACAGGAAAUUAGUCUUCCUAUCUGGUUUGUUGAUGUUAACAAAAGCAAGACUAAUAAAAGUGUAU